AUCGAACGCUGGCGGCAGGCUUAACACAUGCAAGUCGAGCGGAGCGGCGGACGGGUGAGUAAUGCCUAGGAAUCUGCCUGGUAGUGGGGGAUAACGUCCGGCAACGGGCGCUAAUACCGCAUACUAUCAGAUGAGCCUAGGUCGGAUUAGCUAGGUGGUGGGGUAAAGGCCUACAAGGGCGACGAUCCGUGACUGGUCUGAGAGGAUGAUCAGGCACACUGGAAAUGAGACAAGGUCGAGACUCCUACGGGAGGCAGCAGUGGGAAAUAUUGGGCAAUGGGCGAAAGCCUGGUCCAGCCGUGCCACGUGUGUGGAGAAGGUCUUCGGAUUGUAAAGCACUUUAAGUUGGGAGGCGUUACCAACAGAAUAAGCACCGGCUAACUUCGUGCCAGCAGCCGCGGUAAUUC
rnacentral:rRNA from 1 species